GACGAACGCUGGCGGCGUGCUUAACACAUGCAAGUCGAACGGAAAGGCCCUGCUUUUGUGGGGUGCUCGAGUGGCGAACGGGUGAGUAACACGUGAGUAACCUGCCCUUGACUUUGGGAUAACUUCAGGAAACUGGGGCUAAUACCGGAUAGGAGCUCCUGCUGCACGGUGGGGGUGGGAAAGUUUCGGCGGUUGGGGCUGGACUCGCGGCUUAUCAGCUUGUUGGUGGGGUAGUGGCUUACCAAGGCUUUGACGGGUAGCCGGCCUGAGAGGGUGACCGGCCACCUUGGGACUGAGAUACGGCCCAGACUCCUACGGGAGGCAGCAGUGGGGAAUAUUGCACAAUGGGCGGAAGCCUGAUGCAGCAACGCCGCGUGCGGGAUGACGGCCUUCGGGUUGUAAACCGCUUUCGCCUGUGACGAAGCGUGAGUGACGGUAAUGGGUAAAGAAGCACCGGCUAACUACGUG
rnacentral:rRNA from 1 species